AGUUUGAUCCUGGCUCAGGAUGAACGCUAGCUACAGGCUUAACACAUGCAAGUCGAGGGGCAGCAUGAACUUAGCUUGCUAAGUUUGAUGGCGACCGGCGCACGGGUGAGUAACACGUAUCCAACCUGCCGAUGACUCGGGGAUAGCCUUUCGAAAGAAAGAUUAAUACCCGAUGGCAUAGUUCUUCCGCAUGGUGGAACUAUUAAAGAAUUUCGGUCAUCGAUGGGGAUGCGUUCCAUUAGGUUGUUGGCGGGGUAACGGCCCACCAAGCCUUCGAUGGAUAGGGGUUCUGAGAGGAAGGUCCCCCACAUUGGAACUGAGACACGGUCCAAACUCCUACGGGAGGCAGCAGUGAGGAAUAUUGGUCAAUGGACGAGAGUCUGAACCAGCCAAGUAGCGUGAAGGAUGACUGCCCUAUGGGUUGUAAACUUCUUUUAUHACGGGAAUAAAGUGAGGCACGUGUGCCUUUUUGUAUGUACCGUAUGAAUAAGGAUCGGCUAACUCCGUGCCAGCAGCCGCGGUAAUACGGAGGAUCCGAGCGUUAUCCGGAUUUAUUGGGUUUAAAGGGAGCGUAGGCGGACGCUUAAGUCAGUUGUGAAAGUUUGCGGCUCAACCGUAAAAUUGCAGUUGAUACUGGGUGUCUUGAGUACAGUAGAGGCAGGCGGAAUUCGUGGUGUAGCGGUGAAAUGCUUAGAUAUCACGAAGAACUCCGAUUGCGAAGGCAGCCUGCUGGACUGUAACUGACGCUGAUGCUCGAAAGUGUGGGUAUCAAACAGGAUUAGAUACCCUGGUAGUCCACACAGUAAACGAUGAAUACUCGCUGUUUGCGAUAUACAGUAAGCGGCCAAGCGAAAGCGUUAAGUAUUCCACCUGGGGAGUACGCCGGCAACGGUGAAACUCAAAGGAAUUGACGGGGGCCCGCACAAGCGGAGGAACAUGUGGUUUAAUUCGAUGAUACGCGAGGAACCUUACCCGGGCUUGAAUUGCAACUGAAUGAUGUGGAGACAUGUCAGCCGCAAGGCAGUUGUGAAGGUGCUGCAUGGUUGUCGUCAGCUCGUGCCGUGAGGUGUCGGCUUAAGUGCCAUAACGAGCGCAACCCUUAUCGAUAGUUACCAUCAGGUUAUGCUGGGGACUCUGUCGAGACUGCCGUCGUAAGAUGUGAGGAAGGUGG
rnacentral:rRNA from 1 species